rnacentral:rRNA from 1 species
AGAGUUUGAUCAUGGCUCAGAAUGAACGUUGGCGGCGUGGAUUAGGCAUGCAAGUCGAGCGCUCAUAGCAAUAUGGGAGCGGCGAACGGCGUAGUAAUACGUAGGAACGUACCCUCGGGUCGAGGAUAGCUAUGGGAAACUGUAGGUAAUACUCGAUAACCUCUGCGGAGCAAAGGUGUGAUUCCGCCCGAGGAGCGGCUUACGCGAUAUUAGCUAGUUGGUAGGGUAAUGGCCUACCAAGGCGAAGAUGUCUAGGGGGUGUGAGAGCAUGGCCCCCACGACCGGAACUGAGAUACUGUCCGGACACCUACGGGUGGCUGCAGUCGAGAAUCUUCCGCAAUGGACGAAAGUCUGACGGAGCGACGCCGCGUGCGGGAUGAAGGCCCUUGGGUUGUAAACCGCUGUCAGAGGGGAUGAAAUCUUCGGAGGUACUCCUCCGAAGUUGACAGAGCCUCAAAGGAAGCACGGGCUAAGUACGUGCCAGCAGCCGCGGUAACACGUACUGUGCGAACGUUAUUCGGAAUCACUGGGCUUAAAGGGUGCGUAGGCGGCGAUUCAAGUCAGAUGUGAAAUGCCUGAGCUCAACUGAGGCAUUGCGUUUGAAACUGAAUUGCUAGAGUAUUUCAGGGGUGUGCGGAACUGCCAGUGGAACGGUGAAAUGUGUUGAUAUUGGCAGGAACACCGGAGGCGAAGGCGGCACACUGGGGAAUAACUGACGCUGAGGCACGAAAGCCAAGGGAGCGAACGGGAUUAGAUACCCCGGUAGUCUUGGCCGUAAACGAUGAGUACUGGGCGGGAGGGGGUUUCCCCUUUCUGCCCGUAGCGAAAGCGUUAAGNNUCCCGCCC